GGCUGUGUGUUCUAGUGGAUUAUGAUUUCUCGUUCACAAUCAUGUGCACUUGAUCCCGAGAAGAUCGCAGGUUCGAGCCCUGCCACGGUCA
rnacentral:tRNA from 1 species